rnacentral:misc_RNA from 1 species
CAAAUGCUUCAUGUUCUAGUGUUAGAUAUUGAAUUUACAUGGGCCACUGGUGGCAUGAUUCGAUACGAUGACAGGUACAAUUCACUCAGGCAUCUUGCCAACUGCUGUCAAGCCAACUUGCCCCGAAAUGGAGUUGUCUUAAAAAUGUAUCUUUUUAAAUAUACUGAAGAGCACACUUUCAAGAUGUUAGUUGGGAUCGCUAGGAAAGAAACCGUCCUGCUUUGGAUAAUUCUCGCUCUAUACAAGGAUAUUAUUCCAUCCCAAAGCCUUAAAACGCAACAUGAAUUGUCGCCACAAGAGCAUUUUGAGUUGACAUCGAAUAAUUCUGAAAGAAAUCAAUUUCUUAAUCGACAUUACUUCAACAAAAAUAUAUGGGAUUAUCUAAAUGAGUUCAGUCAACCUUACACCUCACAUACAGCCAGCAGCGUCAGCUUCAAUUCCAGCCGAGACAUCGUAAAAAUGAGUCAUAAUAUAUUGCGCAAAACCAAUAAAAGGUAUUUGCACACAUACAAAAUGGAGGACGUCGUGUGUUGUCUGGAUUCUUUUCACGUUACAAAAAAUCGUCGUUUUCACAUCAGUUUUAUCGGUGACUCUCUCACUCGCAACCAGUUUACGAAUUUCAUCUCGCUCAUCCCAGAUUAUGAUAGAAAAUUAACUCAUACUACGACAAGUGGAAUGAUGCAAUCUAAAUUUCACGAAGAUAAGAGUAUAAGCAGUAAAAUUUUAGACGAUCUUCUGGUUUCUUUUCGAUGGCGGGCAAUCAUCAAUGCUGAAUUAAUUGCCGAUUUUAAGCUAUGGGCUACAUUGGAAGAUUAUCAAGUUCCCGACGUUGUAUUUAUAGGUUGCACCGCUCACAAUAUGCUGAAAAAACUAUAUAACUUGGAUGAACAAUCGUUUAAUGAAACGAUAGCACACGAUUUAUUGCCGGCACUGUCCGUUUACCUUAUGGCUCAUCCUAAAAAACAACUGUUUUGGAUUAUUCAAAAUCCCACUGAAGAUCUGUUAGGUCCCAUAGUUUUUCCUUCAUUUAAUAACAUCAUUCACGUGAAAAAGAUUCAGGAUUAUAACAACAUCGUACGUCAAAUUUUUAGUGGAACCCGGGUAGCCCUCUGGGAUUCCAUAAAUCCCGUCAUAGAGGAAAGCAUACGUGCUUGUGCUCUUCAAAACUUUCAACGAGUGGACAAUAGAGGAUACCAGCUAUGUGGCGAUUUUCUUCACUCCGGACACCAAAUAUUGUCGAUUGGAAGUCAGCUUAUUUUAAAUCACCUGUGUGAUUAAACAACCCUGUUUCCAAUUGAACCUCAUCUAGAGAAAUAAACUGAAGCUGGUCAAAAUCCACGAGAGACGGAGACUUAACAGAGGGGCGAGUGCGGCAAAUUGAAAAAAAAACUACGUAUUUGUUGUCCCUGCAACUAAAAUACUGAUUUAAUUCAGCCAAAAGUGUAAAGAAAUGUAGAAAAUUAUCUUACCUAUACAACAAUAUUGUCACGUA